UACAUUUUUGGAAAAAUUGGGUCGAAAAUUGCCUGUGCGGCGCAAUCAGAUAUGAAACCAAAACCGCAUUUACAGCGUUUAUAUGCUUUACCACAUAACAUGACUGUGUAGUGGCAAAGCUGA
rnacentral:lncRNA from 1 species